AUUAAAAUGUGUGAAAUGCCAAGGUGCCCAGUACCUUUGGAGGGCACUGUAUCGUCACUCUUUCAAUUAAGGUGUUUUUUGUUUUGGGGGGUGGCGGUGGGGGGCAUUCUUACUGAAGGUACCAUAUUUUUCCUCGGUCAGGUAUAUGUUUCAUAAAACUCGUGCUUCUUUAGAUUCAAGUGCUUCUUAUUUGUGCUGUGGUGAGAACAGAGAAUGUCAGGAACAUUUUAAUGAUUUUACGGGAAUAUCUAGUGAUUUUUGUUGUUUUCCAGAUUAUAUUAACUCAGGCUUUUGACAGUUACCUGUAGAAGUAAUCCAGACUCAUGGCCAAGUGCUUUCUUCUUUUAGUUAAAUCUGUAUCACCGGAGAUAUCACACUGUUCACAAAUAGUUGCGUCUGCAUUUUGAAGUGUAUUGAACGGAGAGCUUUUUGAACUUUAACCUGUCUUACCUCUUCAAGGACCUGUCUCUGGUCAGUAGAGUGUUGUUACCCACUGUCUCUGCCUUUCUUGAACAAAGCGAUCCAACAACAGUGAAGUGGUUCUUAUGUGCGGUUCUGUUCUGGAGACUUAACACAGCACAUCUCACCAGUAUAGCCAACAGUACCUCAUUCUUAUCCGUUUUUUAUUGUUCUCGUCAAAUGCCACCAGCUAGCGGUCGCUGUUUUUCUUCUGUGCUCACUUGAGUAGGCAGUUGGCUGGAAAACACUGGUAACAUUUGGCUCUGUACUCUUCCUACUGCUUUGACUGGUGCACUCAUGAAGUCUGUUUAAGUUUGUAGAAAUGGUAAAAGUUCCCGCUUAUCUGCUUCACUAGUUGCUAUAGCAGCAGAGUUUUUUCUUGAGAUUUCGUACUAUGGAGACACGGUGGUCUGGGAGCAGAAGUGUGAUCUGGUUGGUUAUCAUUCAAUGUAAAAUGCAGUGGUAGUUACUUUCCGUGCAUGUGACUGUCGCAGUUGAAAUAAAGCUGUAUAUGAAUCUUCGGUUCUGAUGUUGCGGUCUACAUUUAAAGCUACAGUGUGUAGGAUUUAAAGUCAUCGAGUGGUGAGGUUGAAGAUUGCAUUAUGUUCUGUGGUCAUGAUUCUGUUUCCCUUCAUGUUUUCGCUUGUUUGGUGAAAAGGAUUCAUGCUCCUUUGCCUUCCUUGAGAUAAGCAGCAUAUAUGAUCUUCCAUUUAAUAAAAAAAAGGAAAAAAAAUCAGAGCUCUUAAGCUUGUUUUCCUGCACGAGCACCCAAGUAGUUGGUGUUUACAGGGAAUCAACACCACUGAUCCCCCCCCACCCCCAAUUUUAAGGCAGUCCUGAAAAAUGCACACGUGUGCCCAUUUCAGGCAACUGUAACAUCACGGAGUUCGCUGCCAUGUACAUAUGAAGGGCUCAUUCUGAGUUUAUGAAAACAUAUCUCUUUUUUUUUUUUUUUUUAAAUAAUUAUACACUAACUACACAUGGUUAUGAAUGCUAUAUUCCAUUUCUGCUAAUAGAUGUCCAUAAAUCCAGCACACUGUAGCUUUAAAUGUCAUUUGCUGUACCUGGUAUUAGGACUUUUGUAUCAGUGACACUGCUCUUGUUUAUAUCGCCGGGAUGUUAACUACAUCAUCUCACCUAGUUUUAAUUUGGAUGUGAACAAAACCAAUCAUGGAAACAACCAGAUGACAUGACUAUCUGUUGGUGUAGUGCCGUUGCACCCCCCCCCCCCCCCCACCCCAUCAGUGGCACCAUUUUCAGACUCCCGUCAGUAAUCAAAGGCAUUGCACGUUUUAACAAAUACAUUAUUUUUUGUCUUGCAAUAUACACAGUUUUGUUUCGGCAUUCAGUUGUUUGUCAACAGAGUUGUUGUUUUAUACGUAGAUGUACAAAAGAAGUGGUCAGAUGUGUUGUUUUUCUGAUUUGUAACAAACGCAUUAAUUGUGUUGCAGAUCUUAUCACAGCAGUGUGGUUGCACAGCCAGCAAACUGCAGCCAUUUUUCCUUAUAAAAUAUGAACGGCAUUAAUGCAGUUUUGACUUGAUUAAGUCUGAUUGAGGCCUCUUACGCGGCCUGCCUGAGUAUUGAGUAUUGAUUAGUUCCUAAGUGUAGAUUUGGACAGAGGAAAUUGAUGCAUUUCUGCCAUGAAAAAUGUAGAUAAGAGACGUGAUAAAUGGGCAAUACCGUCUUUCAUGAUGCAAAUAAUGCCAAUAUCUUCUUCAAACCACUGUGUGAGAUGGCCGCCCAUACGUGACCACACCCGUCAUGCAGCUUUUUAAAGGAUUAUUAUUGCUAUCAUCAGUGCUGUUAGUUAUAGUAGGUGGAUUUUCAAUUUUGAGUCUUUCUUGUUAGGAUCAUUGAACAUCUGUUUAGGUUAGUAUAACUUUUCCCUGGUACCAUGUCGGGCCUCUGAAUGGUUUCUCAAUCUGUGCGACUUUCUGGUACCUCACUGUAAGCCACGCGCCCACAAAUCCGUUAUCAAUCCCCCCACCCCCACCCGAGUAAAUAGGCUGGACGAACCUUGAAACAGGUCGGCAGUAGUACUGAGUUUUAAUACCUGGGUUUAGACCAAUCUGCUCUAAGAUGUUUGGUUAAGAGUUUGAAUUUAUAACUUAUUCUGAGGUGUGAAAGGCUUUAUUAGCAUUAAUGAACUUUUUCAAGAGAGUGCUCGUGCCCAGUGUUUUUUAUGGUGAUUUUGCACUGCUGUGAUAACUUAAAAGUUGUGUACCCAUGACAAAAAAGAUCAUGUUUCCUAAGCAAAUGCUACUGUAGAUGACAUAUAACCAAAAAAGUUUUUGCUCAAUAAAUUAUUCUGGUGGGACCCAGCAAGGCAAGAAUUUCUUGCCGGGUUGCUCCCCUCUGCUGGAGUAACAGAUGUCACAGUUACGGGUAAUGGCUGACAAUCAAAUAGAGACAUGCUGUGUCCUGAAAAGAUUGGAUUGGGAGGUGGGGGUGAUGUAGAAAGAAAAAUCCAAUCAAACCUGAUGUAAAGGAUCAGCUCAGCUUUUUGUAACUUUUAACCCUGCGACCUAUUUUCCCCUUAGGCAGCAUUCAAGCACCUGUCCCCUUCACUGGAUCCAUCUUUAUCACAUAUCUAUCGACCAGCAUUCGGAGGUAUUUGCAUUUGAACAGCGAGGGGAUGUUGCAGCACGCCGCCGCCUCAUUCUUCUUGCAGAGAAUGACAGCAUGCUUUUAACUGCAUGGUAGUGACAAUCAGAAGGGAUUAUGACAAUGUUGUAUACCCUAAAAACAAAUCACAUCGAACCUUCUUUACAUCGACAUUAGAAGCUGUGGGGUCUGAUUUAGUCACCUCAGUCACAGCAGUGACUCAUACUGAAGGCUGGAAAUCAUGAUGAGUUCACUUUUGAACAAGAUUGUAGACAAUCAGUUAACCACUAAAAUGUUAUUCAUGCCGAUGACUGACAGUGUUUUGGAUGAGCAUUUGUCACCCUUUUGUAAUGUAGGAGUGCCUGGAGAUGACAGUAUUCUAUGAUGCAGUUCAAGCUUCAGCAUUUGUGACAAGAGCGCCCCUCAGUGGCACGUUGUUACAACGUGCAUUCAGUUUUGCUCAGUUUCGCUCAGAUGGAUAUGUGUUUGAAAACUAUUGUUUUUCCUUGUUGCUGUUGGGUUGCAGAGGCCAGUGAAAUGGCUUUUAUUCUAUUAUGCAACAGAAAACUGCCACUGAGCACAAACAAACUCGUAGUAUUUCAAGACUAAGCAACCCUCAGUACUUUAAAUUAUAUGGAACGUAUGGAAGUUCACAGAAUUUAAAUAAAAUUUUGUGAACAAUCUAAUAUCCUUCAAGAGUUUUCUCACUUUAUUUCUCUGUAUCUUGACGGUCGACUGAUGUUUUGGACUAAGACAUUCCAGCACUAGGACAUUUGGGCCUCAUGCUAAUCCAGGUUGAUAAAGAGUGUAAUAUUGGAGUUAGACAUUCAAAUACACUAAAAACCCAAGUAAUCUUAAUCUCUGUUUUCAGUAUCUAGGUUAAACUACAAACAUCUAAAAUGUUCACGUUAUGGCAUUUUUUUUGCCCAAAAUGUUCUAAGCUGGAUCAUCCUGGUCUGAAACAUCCUUCACUCGGUUCUCUAUAGGCCAGGUAUUCUGCAUCACAGUAGGUGAUGACUGUCUUAUGUUUAAUAAACCUUGUACAUUGUCGGACUGAAAAGCACCUGGAGUGAAACCACAGGACUUUCUACCUUUUAAAAAGUUUGCAGUAGAUUUCUGUUCAGGCCAGGAUUUUUCUGAAUGCUGCCAUCUACACUGGUAUCAGUAGCUUCAUAAAACCUGCAUCCUAGCUAUGCUAGGUUGUUGUUAGAGUAGGAUAAUGUGAGUCAACUUUUUUUUUUUUUUUUGGUCAUAUAGACAGAUUUGUUUGUGCUGGACUUCCAGGUUGUGGUGCAUUCAUGUGUUGUAUGAAUUGGAAAAGUUAAGUUUCAGAAAUGAUAGACUCAUUUAUAUAUCUUAAAGGAGAAUGUGUGUUUGUGUUUUGUUUUUGUUCAGAUUUUUUGUGUGUGUGUGUAAUUACGGUAGGUGGUGUUCAGCAGUCACGUUGGAUGUCUGAACUUCCGAUCUGUGCAUACACAUUUGAGUCUCUUGUGUUUGGUUUACUCAGUUGAUGUAAACUGGACCUGAAUAAGAAAGUCAUAUAUGUAGAGAGUUGUAUGCUUUGGAAAUAAUACUGCUGUUAUUCCUGAUGGAGUCGUUGCUGGAAAAUUUUUGCAAUCUUCUGCCUCCUGUUCCUGCAUGUUAACAACUUGGAAAUUGUGCCUGAAGGUUUUCAGAUUAAGGUGCAAAUGGAAAAGGAGCUUCUGACUAGAGUUCACCAUAGAUUUUGUAUCUGUAUCAAACUGUUGAAAAUAUAUAUGAUGACAAGAAAAUAAGAUGCCUUCUGCUGUGACAAUUGUAUGAAUUAAUGUGUAAUGCUAAGAUUCUGUAUAUUAGAAUAUUCCUGAAAUUGAUUUUUAAGGCUGUGGAUUAUUGUUUCAACAAUUUAUUUUUCUGUUUGCUCUCUUCUUUUUGGACGUGCCGUAGCCGCCCCCAGCACUCAGAGGUUAGCAGAUUAAUUGUGAUUAGAAUCAUGAUGAUAAUGUGACUGUUUCAGUGAAGCAUCUGUUUAGGUGAGUGGCUUCAGUGUGGAAUUAACGUGUCUUCAGGAAACUUGUAAACUUCAGAAAGGAAACAAGGCUUUUGUCUCUUAAAACUUCUCAGGAAAACCUACCUCUACCUCCAGUUUGACCCAUUUAACUUAGUUAGGGCCCAAGUUACAGUUUCAUGGGCGCGCAAAGAGGGCAUGAGAGGUGCGCGACAGGGUCUACAACUUGGUAAUACUUCUGCCUUUAUGAUUACUAAACGGGGACCCUCCAACUAAAAUUAGUACUGCAGUACAUGUGUAGUAAAUACAGCGACUAGUAGUACUGCUAGUGCUACAUUAUUGUUAGUCUAUUAUUAAUGUGUGCUUAUUCCUACUUUUUUCUAUACUGACUAAACUUUGAAUGGGAUGUUUCCCGGUAACCAUAGUAACAUUAAAGUUGCCGGGCAAUGCAACUUUUUUUUUUCUCAUUUGGAAGGGUGAAGAGCUGUUCUUACCUAUUUACUUUGUGUGAAUACUUUUAUUUUGAAUCUGAAAUGAAUAAAAUAUCAGCUUUCUAAAAUGU